AGUGAACGCUGGCGGUAGGCCUAACACAUGCAAGUCGAACGGCAGCACAGUAAGAGCUUGCUCUUACGGGUGGCGAGUGGCGGACGGGUGAGGAAUACAUCGGAAUCUACUUUUUCGUGGGGGAUAAUGUAGGGAAACUUACGCUAAUACCGCAUACGACCUACGGGUGAAAGCAGGGGAUCUUCGGACCUUGCGCGAUUGAAUGAGCCGAUGUCGGAUUAGCUAGUUGGCGGGGUAAAGGCCCACCAAGGCGACGAUCCGUAGCUGGUCUGAGAGGAUGAUCAGCCACACUGGAACUGAGACACGGUCCAGACUCCUACGGGAGGCAGCAGUGAGGAAUAUUGGACAAUGGGCGCAAGCCUGAUCCAGCCAUACCGCGUGGGUGAAGAAGGCCUUCGGGUUGUAAAGCCCUUUUGUUGGGAAAGAAAAGCAGCAGGUUAAUACCCCGCUGUUCUGACGGUACCCAAAGAAUAAGCACCGGCUAACUUCGUG
rnacentral:rRNA from 1 species